rnacentral:rRNA from 1 species
UACGUAGGGACCAAGCGUUGUCCGGAAUCAUUGGGCGUAAAGCGCGCGUAGGUGGCCACAUAAGUCCGCUGUGAAAGUCAAAGGCUCAACCUUUGAAAGCCGGUGGAUACUGUGUGGCUAGAGUACGGAAGAGGCGAGUGGAAUUCCUGGUGUAGCGGUGGAAUGCGCAGAUAUCAGGAGGAACACCAAUAGCGAAGGCAGCUCGCUGGGACGUUACUGACACUGAGGCGCGAAAGCGUGGGGAGCGAACAGG